GCCCUCGGGUGCCGCGUGCACGGGGACGUGCAAAGCUCCUCGUGCGUGCAAAAGUGCCACGUGCGUGUGUGCGGCGCGUGCAAGCGCGCUCCGUGCACGCUCAUGGCACGCGUGGUGCGUGCAAAGUUGCAAACUGUGCUCUGUGCGUGCAAACCUUGCUCCGUGCAGGCUCUUGGUGCACGUUCUGGGUGCAAAACUGCUCGGUGCACACUCCCGGUGCACGAUUUGCGUGCAAACCUUGCUCCGUGCACGCUCUUGGUGCACGUUCUGGGUGCAAAACUGCUCGGUGCACGCUCCCGGUGCACGACUUGCGUGCAAAGCUUGCUUGGUGCAUGCUCCCAGUGCACAUUGUGCACGCAAACCUUGCUCCGUGCAUGCUCCCAGUGCACACUGCGCUUGGAAACUGUGCUCGGUGCAUGCUCUCGGUGCAUAUUCUGGGUGCCAAACUGCUCCGUGCAUGCUCCUGGUGCAUGAUUUGCAUGCAAACCUUGCUUGGUGCAUGCUCCCAGUGCACACUGCGCUUGCAAACUGUGCCCUGUGCAUGCCCCUGGUGCACGUUCUGCAUGCAAACCUUGCUCUGCGCACGCUCUUGGUGCAUGUUCUGGGUGCAAAACUGUUCCGUGCAUGCCCUUGGUGCACGAUUUGCAAGCAAAGGUGCCCCGUGCACGCUCAGUGCGCACUGUGCUUGCAAACCUUGCUCCGUGCACGCUCCCGGUGCACACUGUGCUUGGAAACUGUGCUCGGUGCAUGCUCCUGGUGCACGUUCUGUGUGCAGACCUUGCUCUGUGCAUGCUCUUGGUGCAUGUGCUGGGCGCAAAACUUGCUCCGUGCACGCUCCCGGUGCACAAUUUGCACACAAACAUGCUCCAUGCGUGCUCACAGGGUGCACUGUGCCCACAGACCCUGCUCCGUGCACCCUCACAGUGCACACUGUGCUUGCAAACUGCGAUCUGGGCCCGCUCCUGGUGCAUGUUCUGCAUGCAAACCCUGCUCAGUGCAUGCCCCUGGUGCACAAUUUGCGUGCAAACCUUGCUUGGUGCAUGCUCCCAGUGCACAUUGUGCAUGCAAACCUUGCUCCAUGCACACUCCUGGUGCACACUGUGCUUGCAAACUGUGCUUGGUGCAUGCAAACCUUGCUCUGUGCUUGCUCUUGGUGCAUGUUCUGGGUGCAAAACUGCUCCGUGCAUGGUCACAGUGCACAAUUUGCAUGCAAACCCUGCUUGGUGCUUGCUCAGUGUGCACUGUGCAUGCAAACCUUGCUCCAUGCACGCUCCCAGCACACAAUUUGCAUGCAAAGCUUGCUCUGCGCACGCUCUUGGUGCAUGUUCUGGGUGCAAAACCGCUCCGUGCAUGCCCUUGGUGCACGAUUUGCAAGCAAAGGUGCCCCGUGCACGCUCAGUGUGCACUGUGCAUGCAAACCUUGUUCCGUGCACGCUCCCAGCGCACACUGCGCUUGCAACCAGUGCUCCGUGCAUGCUCUGGGUGCACGAUUUGCACGCAAACCUUGCUCCGUGCACGCUCUUGGUGCGUGUUCUGGGUGCAAACCUUGCUCGGUGCACGCCCCCGGUGCACGCUUUGCACGCAACCCCUGCUCUGCGCAUGCUCCGUGCACGCCCCCCC
ensembl:lncRNA